rnacentral:rRNA from 1 species
UAGGGAAUCUUCCGCAAUGGGCGAAAGCCUGACGGAGCAACGCCGCGUGAGUGAUGAAGGUCUUCGGAUCGUAAAACUCUGUUAUUAGGGAAGAACAAACGUGUAAGUAACUAUGCACGUCUUGACGGUACCUAAUCAGAAAGCCACGGCUAACUACGUGCCAGCAGCCGCGGUAAUACGUAGGUGGCAAGCGUUAUCCGGAAUUAUUGGGCGUAAAGCGCGCGUAGGCGGUUUUUUAAGUCUGAUGUGAAAGCCCACGGCUCAACCGUGGAGGGUCAUUGGAAACUGGAAAACUUGAGUGCAGAAGAGGAAAGUGGAAUUCCAUGUGUAGCGGUGAAAUGCGCAGAGAUAUGGAGGAACACCAGUGGCGAAGGCGACUUUCUGGUCUGUAACUGACGCUGAUGUGCGAAAGCGUGGGGAUCAAACAGG